GAUCCUGGCUCAGGAUGAACGCUAGCUACAGGCUUAACACAUGCAAGUCGAGGGGCAGCAUGAACUUAGCUUGCUAAGUUUGAUGGCGACCGGCGCACGGGUGAGUAACACGUAUCCAACCUUCCCGUUACUCUGGGAUAGCCUUUCGAAAGAAAGAUUAAUACCGGAUAGUAUCGAGAGAUUGCAUGAUAACCCGAUUAAAGAUUUAUCGGUGAUGGAUGGGGAUGCGUCUGAUUAG
rnacentral:rRNA from 1 species